rnacentral:rRNA from 1 species
UGGGGAAUAUUGGACAAUGGGCGAAAGCCUGAUCCAGCCAUGCCGCGUGUGUGAAGAAGGUCUUCGGAUUGUAAAGCACUUUAAGUUGGGAGGAAGGGCAGUAAGCGAAUACCUUGCUGUUUUGACGUUACCGACAGAAUAAGCACCGGCUAACUCUGUGCCAGCAGCCGCGGUAAUACAGAGGGUGCAAGCGUUAAUCGGAAUUACUGGGCGUAAAGCGCGCGUAGGUGGUUCGUUAAGUUGAAUGUGAAAGCCCCGGGCUCAACCUGGGAACUGCGUCCAAAACUGGCGAGCUAGAGUAGGGCAGAGGGUGGUGGAAUUUCCUGUGUAGCGGUGAAAUGCGUAGAUAUAGGAAGGAACACCAGUGGGGAAGGCGACCACCUGGGCUCAUACUGACACUGAGGUGCGAAAGCGUGGGGAGCAAACAGG